AUCAAAUUAAAAAAAAAAAAAAAAGUUAAAAAAAUGUUCCCAAAUUAAAGCGAAAUCCCGUUUCUGUCCCUCCCUGUAAUUUGUUGGGUCCUUCAUCCCCUGCAGAGGCUGCUGGUGGUUUCACUGGUGGUUUCACUGGGAAGGGCAGUGCCCAGCCACGAGCAGGAGUGCAGCUGCAAGGAUGAGAUCCCCCCCUCUCCACGGGGCAGCGCUUCUGGAACAAGCCCUGGGCUGGAAGCACAGCUGAGAAAAUUGCCCGGCACCCGCUCUGCUCUGUGCUGCUGUCAGUGAUGGAGCUGCUCUCCUGAUUUUAUGGACAUCAAAAGGAAGUCACUGUUUGUUCCCUAGCCUGGCACAGCCACCAAUGCACACAAGGAUAUGGAGGGAACAGUCCCAAACAAUCCCAGCCAGCUCUGCCCUGCCCACUCCCAGGAGCCCUGGAACACAGGCAGAAGGAUGGAGGGGAGCAAUGCCUUGGCAUCACUGCCCUCUGGUUUAACUCCUUCUUGCAGCCAUUUAGAAUGCUGAAUAAAGGAGAAAAAAUAGCAUGAGCCACAAAAACCCAAGCCAGUCUGUGAAGUCAGAUGUGUUUGAAAGUGGAAUUGCAGCUGUGACAGGGAAGGAGUGUAUUUACUAGCACUUCCUGCCUUCUAAACCAGUCUUUUAAAAACCACUGGUUUGGGUGGGAAGUUUGUUUGGGUGAAGUUAUUGAGGAGGGAAUUGGAAUUAUUAAUGGGAUUUUUUUUUUCUUUCCCUUCAUAUGUCACUGAGCUGCACAAGACAGCCACAGACUCCAAACUGUGAAUCCCUGUUCCCGGACUCUGAGCUCCUGAGGUCGAUUUUACCACUUCAAUAAUAAGGGGAAAUUAUGUGGAUUGGUGGCAGAAGCAAGUUCUAUGGAGAGUGGAGAGGAAUCCAUCUCCAGAGCCACGUUACUGCUUCAGACAAGGCUGCAGCAGGCGACGGCACCCGGCUCCCCCGGCACAGACAGCUACAAUGAAUGACCCAAGAGGCCCUGGUGAUCACCUGUGGAAGGAAGAUUUGGUUCCCUUCAGGAAAUGCUCAGAAGGUGGACUCUGAACAUGGGAAACUUGACUCACUCCCUCCUAGCUUCCCCCUCUCCUGAAGAACAGCAAUUGCUGCCCUCCCUGGCAGCCAUCCCAAAGACAGAAAGAACAUCUUGGAUUAUGUUGCUGCAAAUAAGAGGUUUUGGUCAUGGUAUUGGAUGAGCUGCAGCCACAGCAUUUGUCAACAUGGCUUCCCAACAAUCCUCUCCAUGCAGAUAAAGGUGAGCUGGCAGCCCCACUGGAGCCCUCACCUCAGGCCUGCUGCUCACUCUGGUUCAUUAAGGGACUUUCCCCUCUCUUGCAGUGCAGAAGCUGUGUGAACAUGAAGGAUCCCAAACCCCAGGGUGACACUCAGCUACCCUCAACUCCAUCCUAAUUGGCCCUGUGCAAUUAAGGUGCCAGGGAACAAAACCCCAGGCCCCAGAGGGUGUGGGAUGUAGGGCCCUUCUGCCCUCAUUAGGCAUCCACCUAACGAGGGGCAUCCACCACCAAAAUCCAGUCCAGGGUAUAGGGAGGGAAAGAGAAACUUCAAAUCACUUGGGCUGCCUCUGUCCUGUCCAUGUUCAUUAUUUUUGGUCUUGCAAGGCUCUCGGACCAAAGCAUCACUUUAUAUUAAAAACAACUACCACAAAGCCUUCCAGAUCAAAGCCACACUCUGCCAGGCUGCACACCCUGUGGGCUGCCAGCCCAGGACCCUGCCCAGGAUUCACACUGCCCCAAUUUAACCAGGGAAGGCAGGAGAAGGAGCAGACUGUGCCAGGGAAGCAGCAUCUACUUUCACAGCCCCACACCCAUUUCCCUUCUGUGCCUGCUGGUUUGGAAGACUUUAAAUUGCAGCCUCUUUAACUGGUUCAUUUCUGCUAAUUUGCACUAUCUCACUGCCAGCAACAUCACCAAACUCUCCAGCAGUGUGACCAUGGGUGAGCUGAGAUGUCCCUGCUGCUGAGCUAAACAGCAUCAGGGCUCGUUUCACUGCUUAGAAAUUUGUAAGGAAUCAAGCAGGUCGAUGAAUAAUCCAGUUUAAAAAUCAUAACAGAGGUGCUGGGUAACUGUACACAACACUGGCCUAAAUUCAUACAUCAAGAGAAGAACUGUAAUGAAAAAUUAAAGGGCCCUGCUUGGCACAAGUUGGGUGCUGUAUGAUCUGAAUCCCGGGAAGCAGUUGUGUCACAUGGAGCAGCUCUGCCCGUGUCCCUCGUGCCUGCACAGAAAUGGUUCAGGGGCUCAGACAACCUGCACAGGCAUCAGGUUUUUUCCCCCAGCUUGUGGUUGUUCAAGCUCAGCAGUGCUGAAAUGUGAUGUGGGCUCGCAGAGGACAUGUGCAGCCCGUGGGGUGAACCACAAUGUGAACAGCUCUCCCAUCAGUAUCCUCCCAGUAAUACAUUCCUCCUGGACAGUGUUUCAGGGGAUUGCCAGGAUGUGAGGAGAGAGGAGGCUGGCUGGAAGUGAGACAGGCUCCAGGUUUAUCCUUGAAAGCCCCUGCACUGCAGAGCCUGGGGCUGCCUUUGGCAGCCUGCCUGGAGGAAGAUGUUGGUGGAGGCUGAAGGCUGCCUCGUGCUGUAUGAACCCACCAAUCCCCUCCUCAGCCAGCUAAGUUGGAGCUAAAUCUCCCUAUUAGCAAUGCAUAAAGCAGGCCAAAAUUUGAACAGCUUCUUAGGCAGGAGGUGAAGUAAAAGCUCAAAAUAACUUAAAAUAAGUCCUUUCUGUGCUCUGGGCUAGAAAGUGGUUGUUUUGGAGCUUUCCCACAGUGUGCCUGGCCUGCCUGCUGGGAGAGAGGGGUGCUGAGCAAGCCAGCAAAACCAGGUAAAAAAUAACCCCGUGCCAACGUCAGCAGCAGAGCUGAGAGGAACCAGAAGUCCUGAGCUGUUUCGAAGUUGUGUUAAAUAAUAAA